rnacentral:sRNA from 1 species
UUUAAAAAGGAAAAAAAAA